CCUCUUUCCCUCCUCUUCCCUCCCCCACCCCGCCCCAUUUUCCUCCCUUCUUUCUUACUUCCUUGACUUAUUCUCUGCUUCAUUCUAAGCCUUAGGAUCCAGGCCAGGUCUAUAGUGACAGAAUAAUGAAGCAUGCUGAUUGACUAACAGAGUCCCCAAAGGCAGAAACCGUAUUAGGUUAAUCCCCAGGAAAGUGGUGAGCGUGAAGCAGGAAUUCCAUAAGAUGUGGUGGCUGAUUCCAUAAAUAUGGAAGCCGGGUUUUGCAUCGUCUUUGCAUUUGUUAGAGGCUGUUUGGUUUUCCAGCCCCCCGCCACUACCCUACCCUAGAAUAUCACUCUUUUGAGAGUUCCUGCAGCAAGAGACAGGUCAGCUAGGUGUACAGGCUUUUCUCCACUCUGUGGCUGGGGCCCCACGCUAGAUCUCAGAUUCAUCUAAGCACAACCCCCCUCCACUUCAUGAAUGCCUCUGUGGCGAUGAGCCAGAGGCCCAUGGAGCCCCUUGUACAGCAGGCCUGAUCUGCUGUCAGGGCUAAUAUUUUAUGCAUGGACCUGAGUAAAUGGGAACAUUUGCAGAUGGAAAUUGCUGUUAAUGACACAUCUUUAGAAUAUAUUAAACGUGUGUGCGAGGCCGCUGCUGGUCUCCCAGUUUAAUUGCUCCAAUGUAAGCACAGCCACACCUCAGCAUUAGCAGGAUGGCCACCCCAAGUCCCUUCACUACUGAUGAGGAAAGCCUCAGGUACCUCACCCACCAAGGGAGAAUGAUGCAAGAGGUGGGAUGUCGGCUGGGAUGCCAAGCAGUCAGCAGCAUGCACGUCUCAGACUCAUUGGAGACCCAAAGAGGAUGAUCCCUCCCUGUUGAUGCAGACUUUAAUAAAAGCAAAAUUACUAGAUUUAUCCAUUGUUUGAGGAGAAGAAAAGACAAACAAAGGACUUUUCUCAUCCAAUGAGUCAAGUGAAAAUGUCUGUCCCCCAGGCAGGCAGGCAGGCAGGCAGGAAGAAAGUCCCCGGGGGUACUUCUAGGGUCAGAGAAUUCACCAUCUCUGAGAUAGCAUGUAAACCCCUUGUGCCAAGGUCACAGAGCACAGGCUGUUUCUCUGUGCCUGGCAGAUGUUAGAGCCAGUUUGCCCACCCAUCGUCUCUUCUGGAUGUGAUUGGACUGAGCCAGUGGAGCAUUUCUUUGUUGUUUUUAAGGGGAGUGUGUGUGGGGGGGGAGUAAGUAUUAGCUGUCCCCAGUGAGUAUUUGUGACCUGUGAGGGGAGUAGGUUAUUUCUACGGAAGAGGAAUUUGCUGGGACCCAGAAAGGUUGCAUGACUUUCCAAGAUCUCCUAUCUGGAGACAGGGCUCCAGGCUAUGUGUUCUUAACAUUUCUACUUGUGCUGGCCCAUGUGCCUCUCGAAAUGACCCAUGUGCCAUGGAUGACAGACAGCUCAUUGAAUUGGUUUCCACGUCUUUCUGUAUAGUGCAGCAGGCUCACUUUACCCAAGACAUUUCUUGCCAGGAUCACCAGGCUUUUCUUUUCUCCCUUUUAACUUACCUGUUUCCUCUCCCAUUAACUAAGAGGCUUUCAUUCCUGUCUGGCUUGAGAUGGGGCUGCCUAUUCCAUCAGGAAACCCAGGGCACUGUGGAUGUUAAAUAUCAGGCCGGAAUUGGCUGUUUUGUUUGCUUCUACUGAAAGCCCGCAUUAGCCAUCUCUGUCAUUGUGUGUGUGUGUGUGUGUGUGUGUGUGUGUGUGUGUGUGUGUGUGUGCGUGCCUGCUGCAUCCUGUCAGAGGCUGGAGCACUGCAUGAAUGAGCUGCGUACAUCUUAGCUUGUGUGCUGGACAGGCUAGGAUAGUUCUAAAGAUGUCAUCCCUCAUCUGAGAUCCCCAGAGGCUGACUGAAUCCCCUGAGUCUGCCCCGCUCCUGGCCAAUUUCUCUUCUCACAUCUUUGAGCAGUUAAGAACUCUGGACUGUAGGGUCCUGUCCCCAUGCGGACUUGGAGUCAGACCCAUGUCUAGUGAGUCAAUAGUGUUUCUUUGUCAAGAUUUGAAGGGUUAUGGGAACCUGUGUACCCCUAGGGCUGCUUAUAGAUGCUCAGAAAACACCCGUCUCCCUUGCAUCAAAUGGGCUCGGAUGCUGGCACCGGGAGGUGAUGCAUCAACAGCUGGGAGGAAGCUCAUGGGCAGCACUCAGAGAGUGUUUAUGGGAUGAAUAAAUAAAAACACUUUUUUUUUUUUGAAGAAAUUAAGAAACAAGGAAAGGGAGAAACAUCCAGGGAAGACAACAUAAAUCUCCAGCAAUGUUACCAACGCUACAGCCAGGGCUGCUGAAAAGACCCUGUGGAGGUGGUGGGGCCAUUUGUCAUGGGCGAGGACAGGCUUGAGGGCUGGGACAUGGGGCCUGAUGGAGGCUCGUCCAUCAUUUUCUCAUUAUCCCCGCGACGUGGAGGGCAGCUAGAGGAUCACAGAACAGCAGCCUCCGAAGGAAGGUGGCAGGGCUGGGAGUGCGAGGGACCCCGAGGGAGGGCAGGCUGCCCCAGGCCCUGCCCCCUCCAGGAAGCCUUCUCGCUCCAGCCCAACACACGAUCUCACUUGCCCUCGGACGUUCAUCAUGUGAUCUUUUAUCGACGCUGCUGUGGACCUUGUUUGCAUGUGUGCCUGUGCUUGCCCAGGUUGCAUACAGAAAAGGCACUGUGAAUGCCUGUUUCCCUUGUCCUUCCAUUGUAGGCAUGUGACACUGGAUUGGCCCUCAGGCGUGGAUGUUCAGGAACUCCACCUACCCAACUGCUGUUCCUAGGUUGGAGCCGUCCCUUCGGGUAUGCCCAUGGGACAGCCAUGGCUACAAGCAAGCCCCGAGGCCUGACCUUAAGCCAUCAGUGGGCCUGUAGCUGCUCCGCUCAGCUCCUGUUUGCUGCCUUUUUUCCCCCUGGAUCUUCUGCUGAAGACAAUGAAGACGUCUGACUGGAGAAGAUGCCCCUUGGGGAGAGGACCAGGACCACCCAGGACCCAGUGGGAUCCAGUACCCCUGCCACACCCUGAGCCAUCCGUCUCCGAGCCCCCCCUCCAUUAAUAUCCCCUGCUUUUUACCACUGCCUCCCCGCCCCCAGCCUUGCGUUUUAGAUCUCAGCAGGACCUGAGCAGCCCUUGCUUAGGAGCCUGAGGUGGGGGGUGGGUAGGCAGACCCAGGGGACUGAGCAUGGGUAGAAAAAAAGAUUUCUGCUCUUGGCUUUCAAGCCUCAGUGUGUGGAGCCCUUUGAAUAAUAAACAUAUAUCAUAAAAUGUAAA